rnacentral:rRNA from 1 species
UACGUAGGGAGCAAGCGUUGUCCGGAUUUACUGGGUGUAAAGGGUGCGUAGGCGGCUUUGCAAGUCAGAAGUGAAAUCCAUGGGCUUAACCCAUGAACUGCUUUUGAAACUGCAGAGCUUGAGUGGAGUAGAGGUAGGCGGAAUUCCCGGUGUAGCGGUGAAAUGCGUAGAGAUCGGGAGGACCACCAGUGGCGAAGGCGGCCUGCUGGGCUCUAACUGACGCUGAGGCACGAAAGCGUGGGUAGCAAACAGG